GAUGAACGCUGGCGGCGUGCCUAAUACAUGCAAGUCGAGCGAAUGGAUUAAGAGCUUGCUCUUAUGAAGUUAGCGGCGGACGGGUGAGUAACACGUGGGUAACCUGCCCAUAAGACUGGGAUAACUCCGGGAAACCGUGGCUAAUACUGGAUAACAUUUUGAACCGCAUGGUUCGAAAUUGAAAGGCGGCUUCGGCUGUCACUUCUGGAUGGACCCGCGUCGCAUUAGCUAGUGGGUGAGGUAACGGAUCACCAAGGCAACGAUGCGUAGCCGACCUGAGAGGGUGAUCGGCCACACUGGGACUGAGACACGGCCCAGACUCCUACGGGAGGCAGCAGUAGGGAAUCUUCCGCAAUGGACGAAAGUCUGACGGAGCAACGCCGCGUGAGUGAUGAAGGCUUUCGGGUCGUAAAACUCUGUUGUUAGGGAAGAACAAGUGCUAGUUGAAUAAGCUGACACCUUGACGGUACCUAACCAGAAAGCCACGGCUAACUACGUGCCAGCAGCCGCCGCCG
rnacentral:rRNA from 1 species